CGGUUAACCCUCUAGGGCGCUCUGCCAGCCCCGCACCCCUCCAACCUUCCAUCCCCCGCCUCGCGCGCGUGGGGAUCCACGUGGCUGUCACUUUUGGAGCCGUGCUGGGGGACCUGGACGAUAACUGAGGCCCGAGUCGGAGCGCUGGAGGUCCAGCCGAGAGGGCUUGGCGCAGUCCGCCCGUUAUCUCCGGACGCGCUCAUCCCCCUGCGCUGGCCGUGGUCCCCGCUGUUACCUCUGCAGCAGCCUCUUCUUCCUGCAGUGAGGUUCUUCCUCUCAGCCUCCCUGAGAGCUGGGCCGGCGGCCGCGGCUUUCCCUGCGCAGAGGACCUGAGCAGGCUGUUGGGACAUUGCCAAGCCGACCAAAGAGACGUGACUGCCUCAAAGACCGCCGGCGCAGGGUGGCCCUGGGAAGGAGGGACACAGGCAAAGGGUGUAAAGUACGGACUAACUUCCCUACAAAGCGGAUAUUCAAAAUCCUGCAGUGAGGCCCAAAGGAACUGAAUAUCAGGCUCAGUGCACAAAUCCAGGAUGAGGUAAAUCUGGCUUGGAUUCUUAUGAGAGAAGAAGAGGGGAAGACACAGAGAGGAAAGGACAGGUUCACGUGAAGAUGGAAGCGAAGAUUGGAGUGAUGAAGCCACAAGCCAAGGGAUAGGUGAAGCCACCAGAAGUUGGAGGAAGCAAAGCAGGCUUCUGUCCUGGAGGCUUUGGGGAAACGUUAUGAUUUCAGGCUUCUGGAAUCCAGAAUUGUGACAGGGUAUGUUUCUGUUCUAAGCUAUGCAAUCUAUGGUAAUUUGUUAUGACAACCACAGGAAAU
rnacentral:lncRNA from 1 species